rnacentral:lncRNA from 1 species
UGAAGUGGAUCUUAAUGUAUGUGAAGAGUAUGGCUGACACGAGAAUCCUUUACAUGAGGUAAUCUGGAACUGCUGAAGUGAGAGGGUAUGUGAACUCCAACUACACUGGAGAUUUAGUCAAAAUUUUAUUAUAUGUUACAUUUUUAUGCUAGAUGGCAAACCUAUCAGUUGGAAGUCCAUAUUACAAUACACUGUAGCAUUGUCAACAAUAUAGGAGCGGAGUAUAUGCUGGCUAUUGAAAUAGCCAAGAAAGCAGUCUAGCUUGAAGGCUUGGUUAGUGACCUCGGCAUGAAGCAGGAUAAAGUAACGAGUUCUUCUAAUAGUUGAGUGAAAUUUGUCUCGCUUAAACUUAGAUUGACAAUGUAAAGACAAAGUAUGUUGGAUAUAAAAUACCACAAAUUGAGGGAGUUCGUUUACAAGGAUGAUGGAAAAUUUUAACUAAUAAAGGUGUCUACAAAGUGUUAGAUUUUAUUGGGUUUUUUGUUGAUUUAGAACUUCACGGGCUUGCUGGGCAGCCCAAUAUUCCAUGGGCCUUGCCUGAGAGCCCAUCUAAGGUUUCCACAUGUGAGGAUUAGUCUCACAUUGAAAACUAAGUGUAUUGUUGUUAUUUAUAUACUCCUUCAUUCUCAAGUUAGUUGCUUAGGAGAAAAUGAGAGUUAUGCUCUCGACUAAACACACGCACGCACGGCACGAACACGAGCCGAGACGAGGGGGCGGCGGUGCGCGCGGUCCAAGCCACCCGGUUUAUUUUAUUUUAUCUUUAUUUUGUUUGAGAGCCCUAAUCCGUAUCCUAACCCAUAUCCCGUAUAUUACAUACUCGUAGUCUUAUCCGUAAGCUUAUCUUGCACUACACGGAAUUGACGCGUUGAAGCAAGAUAUUUGCCUUGGAUAUAUAUAUAUUGGAGGAGGUUGCAUGAGUUCAACCUCAACCUGGGCAUACCUAAGAGCAAAAUCCUAAUCUCUACCUCGUUUUCUUCUGUUUUCUCGCUAUUGAUAUUUUGCGCUGAUUUCCACCGAACUUUCUAAUAUUUCGCUGGAUCUAAAGCUUGUUGGAUUCAUCUUGCGCCACCUUGAAAGCGUGCCGACGGGGUGGAACGCGGACGUCGUAUCCCUAGAAGUAAUUGUCAGGAAGCCUCACACGUGGAGGGGCAAUUUCGCUUCUAAGACAGUACUCCCCACGCCUCGAUCCAUAGGCCUUUUCUAAUCCUUUUCUCUACAGUAUUUUUUAUUUAAUUUCUUUUCGAAAUUUUUCUAAAACUGAAAUUAAACUUUCGAAUUGCUUUUAAAGAAUAUUUUACUAAAAGAUCAAAAAGAUUUUCCAACACAAAGGACAAUAUAGAUGGUAUCAUAUCAAAACCUACAACAGGAUAAAGAACUUUCAAUUUCAUUAAGCACUAUUAUUUAUUUGUGUAUUUGUUUCUUAUUAUUUUUGUUAUUUUAAUCUGUAAAUAGCAGAUGUAGGAUGAUCCUAAAUCCCAAUUUUGUUAUUUUAAUCUGUUAUUUUAAUUGUUAGAUUGUGUUCUUUCUAAUUGUUAGAUUUGUGUAUUUGUUUCUUCUAGAAGGAAUUUUGACAUGAAAUUGAGAGUUCACAAGUUCAUAAGCAUGCUGAGAGUAUGAUUACAACUUAAAAAGUACCUAUGUGGUCCUUCCACAUUGUUGCAAUCAAUGGUAGAAAUGGAUGAGAUCGGAAGUAUGGGGUGAGNUAGUGACCUCGGCAUGAAGCAGGAUAAAGUAACGAGUUCUUCUAAUAGUUGAGUGAAAUUUGUCUCGCUUAAACUUAGAUUGACAAUG